rnacentral:miRNA from 1 species
CAGAGUGCUAGUUGGUAUCCA